rnacentral:rRNA from 1 species
CGGAGGAGCAUGUGGUUUAAUUACGAUGAUACGCGAGGAACCUUACCUGGGCUCGAACGUAAGAUGACUGUAGGUGAAAGCUUACAUCUCUUCGGAGCAUUUUACGAGGUGCUGCAUGGUUGUCGUCAGCUCGUGCCGUGAGGUGUCGGGUUAAGUCCCAUAACGAGCGCAACCCCUACCUUUAGUUGCCAUCAGGUAAUGCUGGGGACUCUAAAGGAACUGCCUACGCAAGUAGUGAGGAAGGCGGGGAUGACGUCAAAUCAGCACGGCCCUUACGUCCAGGGCUACACACGUGCUACAAUGGCCGGCACAACGGGAAGCGAGUUCGCGAGGACGAGCGGAUCCCUCAAAGCCGGUCGCAGUUCGGAUUGAAGUCUGCAACUCGACUUCAUGAAGCUGGAAUCGCUAGUAAUCGUGGAUCAGCCAAGCCGCGGUGAAUACGUUCCCGGGCCUU